GAUGAACGCUGACAGAAUGCUUAGCACAUGCAAGUCAACUUGAACUUCGGUUUGGGUGGCGGACGGGUGAGUAACGCGUAAAGAACUUGCCUCACAGCUAGGGACAACAUUUGGAAACGAAUGCUAAUACCUGAUAUUAUGAUUUUAGGGCAUCCUAGAAUUAUGAAAGCUAUAUGCGCUGUGAGAGAGCUUUGCGUCCCAUUAGCUAGUUGGAGAGGUAACGGCUCACCAAGGCGAUGAUGGGUAGCCGGCCUGAGAGGGUGAACGGCCACAAGGGGACUGAGACACGGCCCGUACUCCUACGGGAGGCAGCAGUGGGGAAUAUUGGACAAUGGACCAAGAGUCUGAUCCAGCAAUUCUGUGUGCACGAUGAAGUUUUUCGGAAUGUAAAGUGCUUUCAGUUGGGAAGAAAAAAAUGACGGUACCAACAGAAGAAGUGACGGCUAAAUACGUG
rnacentral:rRNA from 1 species